rnacentral:ncRNA from 1 species
CUAAUAGUAAUAAAGUUCCCUUAUAUCGUGAGAUAUAUUGAACAAUCGGGUGAAUUGCAAGAAACUCUUCGUGUAUCCCCUUCGUUAGUAGUUACUUUAUAUAAACAAUAUUUUAGUAACACUAGUUUAGAUACAAAAGACAAUUUGCAGCGAAGCUAUUACCAGCACUAUAUUUUCUAUAUUCUAAUAGUGAAGUAUAAAGGUAAUAGAACGUUCAACGACUAAUCGGUGAGUUGUGCUAACAAUAAUCCGGACACGAGCGCCCGACAUCUAUAUAUUUUUAUUAAUAGAUGAUGACAUAGUCUAAGCUUAUUAGAAAUAAUAAG